rnacentral:snRNA from 1 species
GUUCCCAAUGCGGACGUGUCACGUAACUGUCGCUAUAAGGUGAAGACACAUAAAACAAUAUAUCUUAGUAAGCAUGCAACACUCUUUUUUGUUUAUUCAUAACAACAAAAAAGAAUUAAAGGAGGAGUCUUAUU